AAGAUAUGAGAUGUUUCGCUUUUUUAAGUCUAUUUUUAAGCGAAGUAGUCCGUUUAUUGACUUUUUCUUUUCGUCAGACUUAUAUACAUAGCUAGAUCAAAUCUUACAAUUGUGGGAUUAUUAAUUGAUUAGCUUUCAUUUGAUUUAGAUCUCAAAAAAGAUGGGGUUUAUUUCAUAAAUGUUUGGCCUAAUAUUUCCUAAAUUCACUUACUUUCGUAACUUAAAGGUCCUCUGUAAC